UGAUAUCCGCGUCCAAGCAGUUAGGCUGGGAAAUAGGCAAAUCCGUUUCCCAUAAGGCUGAGCUGUGAUGGCGAGCGAAAUAUAGUAGCGAAGUUCCUGAUUCCACACUGCCAAGAAAAGCCUCUAGCGAGGUGAGAGGUGCCCGUACCGCAAACCGACACAGGUAGGCGAGGAGAGAAUCCUAAGGUGAUCGAGAGAACUCUCGUUAAGGAACUCGGCAAAAUGACCCCGUAACUUCGGGAGAAGGGGUGCUCUGUUAGGGUGCAAGCCCGAGAGAGCCGCAGUGAAUAGGCCCAGGCGACUGUUUAGCAAAAACACAGGUCUCUGCGAAGCCGUAAGGCGAAGUAUAGGGGCUGACGCCUGCCCGGUGCUGGAAGGUUAAGAGGAGCGCUUAGCGUAAGCGAAGGUGCGAAUUGAAGCCCCAGUAAACGGCGGCCGUAACAAUAACGGUCCUAAGGUAGCGAAAUUCCUUGUCGGGUAAGUUCCGACCCGCACGAAAGGCGCAACGAUCUGGGCACUGCCUCAACGAGAGACUCGGUGAAAUUAUAGCACCUGUGAAGAUGCAGGUUACCCGCGACAGGACGGAAAGACCCCGUGGAGCUUUACUGCAGCCUGAUAUUGAAUGUUGGUACAGCUUGUACAGGAUAGGUAGGAGCCUUGGAAACCGGAGCGCCAGCUUCGGUGGAGGCAUCGGUGGGAUACUACCCUGGCUGUAUUGACCUUCUAACCCGCCGCCCUUAUCGGGCGGGGAGACAGUGUCAGGUGGGCAGUUUGACUGGGGCGGUCGCCUCCUAAAAGGUAACGGAGGCGCCCAAAGGUUCCCUCAGGAUGGUUGGAAAUCAUUCGCAGAGUGUAAAGGCACAAGGGAGCUUGACUGCGAGACCUACAAGUCGAGCAGGGACGAAAGUCGGGCUUAGUGAUCCGGUGGUUCCGCAUGGAAGGGCCAUCGCUCAACGGAUAAAAGCUACCCCAGGGAUAACAGGCUUAUCUCCCCCAAGAGUCCACAUCGACGGGGAGGUUUGGCACCUCGAUGUCGGCUCAUCGCAUCCUGGGGCUGUAGUCGGUCCCAAGGGUUGGGCUGUUCGCCCAUUAAAGCGGUACGCGAGCUGGGUUCAGAACGUCGUGAGACAGUUCGGUCCCUAUCCGUCGCGGGCGCAGGAAAUUUGAGAGGAGCUGUCCUUAGUACGAGAGGACCGGGAUGGACGCACCGCUGGUGUACCAGUUGUUCUGCCAAGGGCAUCGCUGGGUAGCUAUGUGCGGACGGGAUAAGUGCUGAAAGCAUCUAAGCACGAAGCCCCCCUCAAGAUGAGAUUUCCCAUUCCGCAAGGAAGUAAGAUCCCUGAAAGAUGAUCAGGUUGAUAGGUCUGAGGUGGAAGUGUGGCGACACAUGGAGCUGACAGAUACUAAUCGAUCGAGGACUUAACC
rnacentral:rRNA from 1 species